rnacentral:rRNA from 1 species
GACGAACGCUGGCGGCGUGCCUAAUACAUGCAAGUCGAACGAAGCUUUUUUAACAGGUGCUUGCACCGACUUAAACAACUGAGUGGCGAACGGGUGAGUAACACGUGGGUAACCUGCCCCAAAGCGGGGGAUAACAUUUGGAAACAGAUGCUAAUACCGCAUAACCACAGAAACCACAUGGUUUCUGUGUCAAAGAUGGUUUCGGCUAUCACUUUGGGAUGGACCCGCGGCGUAUUAGCUAGUUGGUAGGGUAAUGGCUUACCAAGGCAAUGAUACGUAGCCGAACUGAGAGGUUGAUCGGCCACAUUGGGACUGAGACACGGCCCAAACUCCUACGGGAGGCAGCAGUAGGGAAUCUUCCACAAUGGACGAAAGUCUGAUGGAGCAACGCCGCGUGAGUGAAGAAGGUUUUCGGAUCGUAAAACUCUGUUGUCAGAGAAGAACGUGUGCGAGAGUAACUGUUCGUGCAGUGACGGUAUCUGGCCAGAAAGCCACGGCUAACUACGUGCCAGCCGCCGCGGUAA